UACGAAGGUGGCAAGCGUUGUUCGGAUUUACUGGGCGUACAGGGAGCGUAGGCGGCUGGAUAAGCCCUCCGUGAAAUCUCCAGGCUUAACCUGGAAAGUGCAGAGGGGACUGUUCAGCUAGAGGAUGGGAGAGGAGCGCGGAAUUCCCGGUGUAGCGGUGAAAUGCGUAGAGAUCGGGAGGAAGGCCGGUGGCGAAGGCGGCGCUCUGGAACAUUUCUGACGCUGAGGCUCGAAAGCGUGGGGAGCAAACAGG
rnacentral:rRNA from 1 species